CCUACGGGUGGCAGCAGUGAGGAAUAUUGGUCAAUGGCCGGAAGGCUGAACCAGCCAUGCCGCGUGAAGGGCAGGGCCCUAUGGGCGUUAAACUUCUUUUGUGCGGGAGCAAGAAUGGUCACGUGUGGCCAGACGAGAGUACCGUACGAAUAAGCAUCGGCUAACUCCGGGCCAGCAGCCGCGGGAAUACGGGGGAUGCAAGCGUUCUCCGGAUUUAUGGGGUUUAAAGGGUGCGUAGGCUGGGAGGUAAGUCAGCGGGGAAAUGCCCCCGCUCAACGGGGUGAAGUGCCAUUGAUACUGCCUUGCUGGACUGCGGCUGCCGUGGGCGGAAUGUGUGGUGUAGCGGUG
rnacentral:rRNA from 1 species